rnacentral:rRNA from 1 species
UAAUACAUCGGAACAUGUCCAGUAGUGGGGGAUAGCCCGGCGAAAGCCGGAUUAAUACCGCAUACGAUCUACGGAUGAAAGCGGGGGAUCGCAAGACCUCGCGCUAUUGGGGUGGCCGAUGGCGGAUUAGCUAGUUGGUGGGGUAAAGGCCCACCAAGGCGACGAUCCGUAGCUGGUCUGAGAGGACGACCAGCCACACUGGGACUGAGACACGGCCCAGACUCCUACGGGAGGCAGCAGUGGGGAAUUUUGGACAAUGGGCGCAAGCCUGAUCCAGCAAUGCCGCGUGUGUGAAGAAGGCCUUCGGGUUGUAAAGCACUUUUGUCCGGAAAGAAAUCCUUUUCGAUAAUACCGAGAGGGGAUGACGGUACCGGAAGAAUAAGCACCGGCUAACUACGUGCCAGCAGCCGCGGUAAUACGUAGGGUGCGAGCGUUAAUCGGAAUUACUGGGCGUAAAGCGUGCGCAGGCGGUGAUGCAAGACCGAUGUGAAAUCCCCGGGCUUAACCUGGGAACUGCAUUGGUGACUGCAUCGCUAGAGUAUGGCAGAGGGGGGUAGAAUUCCACGUGUAGCAGUGAAAUGCGUAGAGAUGUGGAGGAAUACCGAUGGCGAAGGCAGCCCCCUGGGUCAAUACUGACGCUCAUGCACGAAAGCGUGGGGAGCAAACAGGAUUAGAUACCCUGGUAGUCCACGCCCUAAACGAUGUCAACUGGUUGUCGGGUCUUCAUUGACUUGGUAACGUAGCUAACGCGUGAAGUUGACCGCCUGGGGAGUACGGUCGCAAGAUUAAAACUCAAAGGAAUUGACGGGGACCCGCACAAGCGGUGGAUGAUGUGGAUUAAUUCGAUGCAACGCGAAAAACCUUACCUACCCUUGACAUGUACGGAAGUCCGCUGAGAGGUGGAUGUGCCCGAAAGGGAGCCGUAACACAGGUGCUGCAUGGCUGUCGUCAGCUCGUGUC